rnacentral:lncRNA from 1 species
GCCUGCCCCGCCCGGCGCCGCACCACGUGGGCCAGGCGCCCCACGCCUGGAGCUCCCCUCUCUGGAGCCCCGGGAAAGGAAGCGGGGCAGGGAGGCCGGGUGGGAGCAGGGGGGUCUCCGGCGCUUCCUCUCCUCUGCGGGCGCCGCGCGGCUCCUGAGAGUCCGCCCCCCGUCCUGACGCUCAGCUAGGAAGCGGGUCCUCGGGCCCCUCCCCCGACACACACACACACACACACACACACACACACACACACACACACUCUCUCUCUCUCUCUCUCUCUCUCUCUCUCUCUCUCUCUCUCUCACACACACACACACACACACAGCCCGUCUCGCGCCUGAGGUCUCGCCCGCAGGCCGGUGGCGCGGGGUCAGCUGCUGCCUGCGGUCCAGGACAGGGUCGGUUCCGCCGCGCAGCGCCCAGGCCCAGCUCGUCCAGAGUCUGCGGACAGCGCACGUCCAGGUAACGCGCUUCAAGGGGCCGCGGCUCGGAGCUGGGGGACCCCGGGCCGCCCUGCCCAUACGAGUGCGAGCGUGGAGAGCGCGGGCGGGGGCGCGGUCCCGGGGGCCGGCCAGCUGGAGGGGGCGGGAGCGCUGGGCGGGGCCUGCGCUGACCCCGGCGCUGAGUCCCUGGGGCCGCCGGGCGGAUGGCGUGGCCGGACGCGGGGGCCCCGGGCCUUCCGGGCGUGACCUAGGGCUCGGGGGCGGGGAGGCCCCUCCGGCGGGGCGGCCCUGGGUGGUCCGGCAGAGGCGGAGGCCGCUCCGAGCCUGUGAGCCCUGGGCGCCUGCGGAGGCGGGGAGAGGGCGGGGUGUGCCGCCCUGGUGGGGACCGCGGGGUCGGAGAGGGGACAUUGCCCCCCCCGAGGCGAACGUCCAACCGCGGGUCCGGGUCCCCGCCCAAGGCCGCCCCGCGAGGUGGCCUCGGCCCGGCCGUCCCCGAGGGUGGCUCGGAUCCUUUCAACCAGCGCGCUGGAGGCGAAGGGGCUGCGCCAUUCCGGGUCAGGCAGCCAACGCGGGACACGCGCGUCUCCGAGCUUGCGGCCCGCGAAACCCGGGUGACCUACCGCGCCGGUGCCCUCAAAGCCCCCACGCCCGGGCCGGUGGCCGCUGCAGCCACUGAGCCACGCGGUCUCCCCGGCCCGGUCGGCAGAAGGAGCUGGUCCGUUACUAGAAAAGUCCAGAUGCAAAGUCGGGGGUCGUGCUGCCGCUUCCUGCCAGCGCACCGCACCCACCUGGGGCCGCCACCGACCGCACAGGACGCGCCUCCUACCCCCUGUUCUGGCCCGGCCGAGAGCUGGUGCCCCCAGCGGCCGCCCGCCCCCGUCCGCAGACCCCGGGGCCCUUGCUGCUUUGCAUUGGGAACAACCGGAGCCAGGCCCGGAGCUGAGGGGGCCAGGGCCUUUGGAGGAAGCAUUGGCCUCCAGGCUGAAGAGCAAGGGCCGUGUCACCUGCCCGGAGGGCGGUCUCAUCUCUGCAGCCAGGUCAGAGGAAGCAGCGGUGGGGAGACGGAGUGCGCGAGUUGGGAGGCUCCACGCAUCGUAGGUGGAGAGCUGGCUGCCAGCCUGGCCUGCCCUCUCUUCCCCGUCCCACCAUCUCGCUUGGCUCCGGCACCUGCCUGGGAAGACCCACACCUCCGUCUGCAGUGCCUCUUCCCCCUGGAGGCCCUGCCCUCCGCUCGGGGUCCCCGCAUCCUUCCGUGGCCCUCAGAGCAUCGCCUGGGGCGCCCGCGGAACUCAUCUGUUAGGCCUGGGAUGCAGGCAGGCAGAAGUGGGGGUUUAAGUGGAAGCAGUGAGGGUGGGGGUCCGGUCCAAACUGUGCCACCUUCCACCCCCUGCCCCUGGGAGAGCAGACAUCGCCCACUCGGGCUCACAGUGCCAUCCGGGUGAGGACCUCCGUGGAGAGCUCUCUUUGCCAAAGAAAAGCAGUUGCAUUAGGUCUGCGAGCAGGCAGGGUGGCCUCUUCCUGGCUCCCCAUCCACCAAGGAAGCUUCAAGUCCCUGGGACACAGGCACUUUCCCACACAGGAUGGAGCCGGGCCACCCUCACAGCUCCUGCCCUGCAGACGCUGGCCUUGUGGAGGGAGGCAGGCAGCAGGAGCAGUGCUUUCUGGGCCUCUGUAGCCAGAGCUGGCCCUGCUGCAGCUUACGUCUGCCUGCAGCCCAGACGUCCUCCUGGUCCUCCUGAUGCCCCCGACCUCCACGGAGGACGAGCAUUUCCAGCCCAGCCCUCCCCAUCUUCACCUCGCACUCCCCUGACACACUGGGAGCCUCCUGAUCCGUGAACCCGCGCUGGCGGGAGUAGCUACUGACCGCUGGGGACCCCUGCCCAGGCUGUUCGCAUGUGGAAAGGAUUCAGGGAGCAGGCGAUGCCCAAAGCGUGGAGACCAGCACUGCUCUCUCCCCAGUGACAGUACAGCUGUGCCGUGUACAGGAGGGUGCUGUCUGACGCCAGACACCUGGACUACAGAUCGCAGCCUGAUUCCUGGUCAUUGCUCCACUGAACCCCAGACCCCAGCCUCGUUCUGGGCCCUCAUCCCCUAGAUCCAGGGACCCCAGCCCCAUUUCAGCCCUUGGGCCCUUGUAGGAUGCGAGGCCCUGGGCCCCAGCCCCCAGCCCAUCCGUGGCCCAGGCACUGGGGGGCUGAGGUCCUCUGAGAAGGGACACAGGGCCUGGGGGGCUCUCUCAGCCCAUCAGCAGGAGAGGACUGACUCCAGAAAAAUCAGCGUUUGUACCCACUCAGGCUGCCAAGACCUGUGUCCGUCCUUCCAAGCUCAACCUUCAGAGUUCAUGAGGCCCCUUGCCCAGAAUGUCCACAGAGUUCAUGAGGCCCCUUGCCCGGAAUGUCCACAUUUGAAACCUCCCAACACCGAGCCCCAUUUCAAGUAUAACCAGGAGGGAAAAUGGUGCUUGAAAUAAGCAUGCCACAAAGGAAAACCUGCUUUCUCGAAAUGGGCCCUGGCCGCCCAGGCCCUGACCUCCCCGGCCAGGAUGGAACGUUCCAGAGACCCAUUAGUGCCAAAGGCAAAUGAAAACACACCCUGUGAAAAUGUCUC